GUGACUUGUGAAAGUGUACUUGUUGUUUGAGAAGCCGCUAAAAUAGUAAAAAAUAGAUUAGGUAGAGCAUUCAUUCCUAAAACACAAUCUUGGCGGUGGAUUUGAAAACCCUCCCUCUCUUUUUCCCCCAAAAUUAUUUUAUUUAUUUCCCCCAAAACACUCCAAACCUGUCUAUAGUCCAAUCGCAUGUCUCAAACCUCAAAGAAACCCAAUAGUUACAUUCCAUAACUAGGGUUCAUCUCUUUUUCAUAUUCCCACUAAAAUACAAACCAAAAUUUCUCAAUGGCGGAGGAACACAACAACACCACAACCGCACUCACAGAAGAUUCCAUUCCCGAUCAUCCAGAAAUAACUGAAACACCCGAAACGGUGCCGUUCGAAGUCGAUGACGUGGCAAAGGACGCGAAUGUUGCAUCAGAAACGGCGUCGUUGAAGGAAGCAGAAGAAGCUAUGGAUAUUGUUACCGAAACGGCGUCGUUGAAGGACGGUUUAGCUUCGGUUGAAGGUGAUGACGUGGCAGCUGGAGAUUCACCUACCGUCGUAGAGCCGAUAAAGAAGUAUCACAGAAGGAGGAAUAAACCUGGAGGAAAGAGUAAUGUAGAAAUCGAAGCGUUGAAGAAUGAACCAAACGGAGAAGAAACGGUUAAAGCUGAUGACGUGGCAGGUGGUGGCUCUGACUCUGUUCCGCCAGAGAAGAAGAAACGCGGCGUAAAGAGGAAGACGGAGAAGGAAGGUGAAGCUGUUGAAGGUGAUGAUGUGGCGGUGGCGGUUGUAGGUUCGUCUUCUUUUGAGGGGACUGUGAGGAAGAGUGAACGUCCUAGGAAGAUUAAAUCGUUUGCGGAGGAUUUUGUGUCAGUGUUGGAUGCGGAAGUGACGAAGAAUGGGAAUUGUAAAAGGAAGAAGGCGAUAAUAGAUGUUUUUGAUGCGAGUAAUGCUGUACAAGAAGGGGAAGAUGUGAAGGAAGAGAAGAAAAAACUUGGUAGAAAAAGGAAGAAUGAUUUUAGUUCUGAAGAAGAUUAUAAAGGUGGAGUAGGCGGGGAAAGUGUGAAGAAAGAGAAGAAAAAACCUGGUGGUAGAAGAAAGAAGAAUGGUUAUAGUUCUGAAGACGAAUGCAAACCUGAACUAGAUGAUGAAAAUGUGAAGAAAAAAAAGAAGAAACUUGGUAGAAAAAGUAAGAAAGUUUAUAGUUCUGGAGAAGAAUAUAAAGCUGUAGUUGAUAGCGAAAAUGUAAAGAAAGAAACGGAGAAACCUGGUAGAAAAAGAAGGACAGUUUCUAUUUCUGUAGAAAAUGGUGAAGCUGCAGAAGAGGGGGAAAACGGUGGUUUUGAUAAGGAAGAGAAGAAAACACCUGGUCGAAAAAUUAAGAUCGAAGAGAAUGAACUGGUCUCUGAAAAGAAGUCUAAGAGUGUUGUGCUGAAGGAUGAGAUACAGGACUGUCCUGAAAUUGAAACUGAAACGCCCGUGUAUAUUGAUAAUAAAGGUUAUUCUUUGCGUAAGACUAGAAACACGAAACCUACAUUAGUUGAACAUGUGGUGCCAAAAAUCAACAAGAAAAACCCUAAGCGGAUUGAAAAGGAGUCUUUAAUGUGCCAUCAAUGUCAGAGAAAUGAUAAGGGCAGGGUAGUCAGAUGCACUAGCUGCAAAAGGAAAAGAUUUUGCAUACACUGUAUAACUAAUUGGUAUCCUAACUGGAAAGAGGAUGAAAUUGCUGAGAAAUGUCCGGUGUGCUGUGGUAAUUGCAAUUGCAAAUCAUGCCUGCGAUCACGUGUUCUUAUCAAUGCAAUUAAAGAAAAGACAGAAACCAACGAAGAUCCUGAGGUUGGGCCCUCCAAGUAUAUGCUAAAAGAACUUCUUCCGUAUUUAAUACGAUUGGAUGAGGAACAAAUGACCGAGAAGGAGAUAGAAGCAAAAAGACAAGGGCUUCCACUAUCGGAGCUAAAAAUAAAAGUAGCAGAGUACUCUAAAAAUGAGCGCGUGUACUGUGAUAACUGCAAAACAUCAAUAUUUGACUACCACCGAAGCUGUACAAAAUGCUCAUUUGACAUCUGUCUCCUCUGUUGCUGUGAGCUUCGUGGUGGCAAGCUUCUAGGUGGCGAUGAUCCAAUUGAGUUUGAGUUUAUCUUCCGAGGGCGUGAAUAUCUACAUGGCGGAGAUGAAAAGAAACAAGAUAGAGAAAAAAACCCUCGUUCUGCAGUCCAGCCUGAGAUUUGUGAAUGGUCUAAAUCUGGGUGGCAUGCAGAUACUGAUGGUAGCAUUCCCUGUCCAAAGACCAAUAGUGAUUGUGACCAUGGUUUCCUUGAACUGAGAAGCAUACUUCAGCCAAAUUGCAUAUCUGAGUUAGUAUCCAAAGCAAAAGAACUUGUAGAGGAAGCAAUGGAACUUCAAGAUGCAGAGGAGAAUCUUGAUGAUAGGUGUUCUUGUUUGAAGCCUGUUAGGAAUUCAGAUGAUAUACACAAUAACACAAGGAAGGCAGCUUUUCGUGAAGAUUCUAGCGACAACUUUUUAUAUUGUCCUAGGGCUGUAGAUCUACGUCAGGAGGAUUUAAGACAUUUUCAAUCACACUGGAGCAAAGGGGAGCCUGUAAUUGUCAGCAAUGUACUUGAAUGUACAUCUGGUUUAAGCUGGGAACCACUUGUCAUGUGGCGUGCAUUCCGUCAGAUAAGCAACACUAAGCAUAAAACACUUUUGGAUGUGAAGGCAAUUGAUUGCUUGGAUUGGUGUGAGGGAGAUAUUAAUGUGCACCAAUUCUUUACUGGGUACACAGAGGGUCGUGUGGAUUGGCUUAAAUGGCCUCAGGUUUUGAAACUGAAAGAUUGGCCUCCUUCUAAUUUAUUUGAGGAAAGUUUGCCUCGUCAUUGUGCCGAGUUCAUAUAUUCUUUGCCGUAUAAAGAGUAUACAGAUCCUUUCAAAGGUGCUCUUAACCUUGCUGUGAAGUUGCCUAAAGGUGUUCUAAAGCCAGACAUGGGCCCAAAAACAUACAUUGCUUAUGGAUUUGCUCAAGAACUUGGGCGGGGUGAUUCUGUGACUAAGCUCCAUUGUGACAUGUCUGAUGCAGUAAAUGUGUUGACUCAUAUUGCUAAAGUUGAAUUGAAAGAUAAGAGCAUUGAGGCCAUCAAGAAACUGACACGAAAGCACCUCAAGCAAGACAAAAGGGAGCUACAUCUACAUGGUGAUAAUCAGGAUGGACAAACCAAUGCUAGCAUGCUUGAUAAUUCAUCGUCUUCCAUAAAUGCAUCAGACGAUGAGAAGGUGACUGAUCCUGUUCAUCAACACUCAGGUGCAGAUAAUGAUGGCCUUUCUUCUGGAUCAAAGCUCAAAAAGGUCGAUAAAGUGAUUGUGAAAAAAGAUAAUAGUUUGUUGGUUGGGGAUGAUUCUUUAGAUGGUGCUCUUUGGGAUAUUUUUCGGAGAGAGGAUGUCCCGAAAUUGGAGGAAUAUCUAAAGAAUCAUUUUAGAGAGUUCAGGCAUGCCCAUUGCUCUCCUUUAAAGCAGGUACCUAUAAAGAUUUUGAAGAUUGUUGAGCUGCCCCUCAUGAAGUUAGUAAACAAAUGUGAGACAUUAUCUAAGGAAAGGUGAUAAAGAUGUUGAAGAUUGUUAGAGCUGCCCCUCAUGAAGUUGGGAAACAAAUGAUGGACAUUGUCUAAAGAAAGGUGACAGAAAUGUUAAGAUGAUAAAGAUGUUGAAGAUUGUUGAGCUGCCCCUGCCCCCCUCAUGAAGUGAGGAAACAAAUGGGAGACAUCGUCUAAGGAAAAGCGAUGAAUACAAUGUUGAUUUUGUUGGUGAGGAGGGAAAACUCCAGAAGUUGAAUUUGCUUCCAGCUUUAUCAAAAAUAGAGAAGUCUCUUGGACAUUUUUGAAUAACAUUUUCAAGAAGAGCAUUAAGGAGGAUGCCUACCUACACGUUGGCACAUUUCUUUUUACAACAAUGCUAUUUCCUUUUUCCGUGAAAGGAUUCAACUUUCAAAUUACAUUUGAACUUCUUGGAGCUUUUGGCAUGUGAUACAAGCCACUAUCUUAUCAUGAUAUUAAAAUUCAUAUUUAAUAAAAACUGACUUUACACAGUUUUGGAGGAUCAUAUGGCGGUUUGGAAGAGGUUCAUCAACAUGUUUAUGACAAAUGGGUAGAUCAAUUGAAGAAGGAAGACUAUCUUGAUUUUUUUGGCAAAUAGUUCCAAAGGCAUGUCUUUUUGGAAUCAAUUGAUGCUUUUCGCAUGUUGUUAUUGACAACACACCAAGUUACAAGGCAAAUGAAUUUUUAUGGUGGCAAUGAGAUGAAAUCUUUAUUUGGAUACAAUUGUUAAAGGUUAUUCACCCCAUCCACGAUCAGACCUUUUAUUUGACUAUUGCACAUAAGAAGAGACUGAAGGAGGAGUAUGGAAUUGAGCCCUGGACUUUUGUUCAGAAGCUAGGAGAUGCUGUU